GAGAGCCGUGUGAUGGGUGACUAUCCAGCACGGUUCGGAGAGCACUUUUAGUCUUUGUUGGUGAAUGGAAGCCCCCUAUCAAGCAAGAAAGAAGUGGCUCUUCCCACAGCGGAGUCACCAUUGACUCUAU
rfam:Gossypium hirsutum cultivar TM-1 chromosome 12, whole genome shotgun sequence